GAUGAACGCUGGCGGCGUGCCUAAUACAUGCAAGUCGAGCGAACAGACAAGGAUCUUGCUCCUCUGACGUUACCGGCGGACGGGUGAGUCACACGUGACUAACCUCCCUAUAAGACUGAACUCACUUCGGGAAACCGUAGCUAAUACCGGAUAAUAUAUUGAACCGCAUGGUUCAUUAGUGAAAGACGGUUUUGCUGUCACUUAUAGAUGGACCCGCGCCGCAUUAGCUAGUUGGUAAGGUAACGGCUUACCAAGGCAACGAUGGGUAGCCGGCCUGAGAGGGUGAUCGGCCACACUGGAACUGAGACACGGUCCAGACUCCUACGGGAGGCAGCAGUAGGGAAUCUUGCGCAAUGGGCGAAAGCGUGACGGAGCAACGCCGCGUGAGGGAUGAAGGUCUUCGGAUCGUAAAACUCUGUUAUUAGGGAAGAAGAAAUGUGUAAGUAACUAUGCACGGCUUGACGGUACCUAAUCAGAAAGCCACGGCUAACUACGUG
rnacentral:rRNA from 1 species